GGUAACCUGCCUGUAAGACUGGGAUAACUCCGGGAAACCGGGGCUAAUACCGGAUGGUUGUUUGAACCGCAUGGUUCAAACAUAAAAGGUGGCUUCGGCUACCACUUACAGAUGGACCCGCGGCGCAUUAGCUAGUUGGUGAGGUAAUGGCUCACCAAGGCAACGAUGCGUAGCCGACCUGAGAGGGUGAUCGGCCACACUGGGACUGAGACACGGCCCAGACUCCUACGGGAGGCAGCAGUAGGGAAUCUUCCGCAAUGGACGAAAGUCUGACGGAGCAACGCCGCGUGAGUGAUGAAGGUUUUCGGAUCGUAAAGCUCUGUUGUUAGGGAAGAACAAGUACCGUUCGAAUAGGGCGGUACCUUGACGGUACCUAACCAGAAAGCCACGGCUAACUACGUGCCAGCAGCCGCGGUAAUACGUAGGUGGCAAGCGUUGUCCGGAAUUAUUGGGCGUAAAGGGCUCGCAGG
rnacentral:rRNA from 1 species